UGGGGAACUUGUCCCGGUUGCUGGAGCAGGGACCAUUCAGAUAUCACCAUCUUUAAAAAUUUCCAAUUGAUAUCCGGACGGGGAUGACGAUUGGGCGUGGCACUGAACACCAAGGGUUGUAUUAUGUGGAUGAGAUAGCUCAAUCUGGCAGAGGAAUGCUGGCUCACGGAACUUCAGACCAGGAAGUCAAGUUAUGGCAUAGGCGGUUAGGGCAUCCGUCCUCAAGUUAUUUAAACAUUUUAUUUCCUAAUCUCGUUAAGAACUCCGUUUUUAAUUGUGAAACAUGUGUUUUGGCCAAGAGCCACAGACAAUCUUUUAAACUCAGUAAUACUAGAGUUGAUUCUGUUUUUUCCUUAA